AACCUCACAGAUAGGAUCUUUUCUAUAGUGUACAACCUCUUUUGAAUUCUUUAAAAGAGCCACUUUUCCAAUCCUGGCUGAUGACUGGAUGGUCUAUCCUUAUUACCUCGCUGCCACAGAGUGAAGCCGAUUUUUGUUACCCGUUCUUUUUAUCGAGGAUGAGGUGGUGAUGAUCUCGACCCACUUGCUUGACCCUGUUCUUUUCCUUCGGGGAACCAGAUGAUCGCAUUUUGGGUUGGCAGUGAUGGUGGUCUGACAGGU
rnacentral:snoRNA from 1 species